rnacentral:rRNA from 1 species
UGGGGAAUUUUGGACAAUGGGGGAAACCCUGAUCCAGCCAUCCCUCGUGUGCGAUGAAGGCCUUCGGGUUGUAAAGCACUUUUGGCAGGAAAGAAACGUCAUGGGUUAAUACCCCGUGAAACUGACGGUACCUGCAGAAUAAGCACCGGCUAACUACGUGCCAGCAGCCGCGGUAAUACGUAGGGUGCAAGCGUUAAUCGGAAUUACUGGGCGUAAAGCGUGCGCAGGCGGUUCGGAAAGAAAGAUGUGAAAUCCCAGAGCUCAACUUUGGAACUGCAUUUUUAACUACCGGGCUAGAGUGUGUCAGAGGGAGGUGGAAUUACGCGUGUAGCAGUGAAAUGCGUAGAUGUGCGGAGGAACACCGAUGGCGAAGGCAGCCACCUGGGAUAACACUGACGCUCAUGAACGAAAGCGUGGGGAGCAAACAGG